GUGCUUGCUUCUGUAGCACACCUGCUAAACUGGGAGCUGCAGGGAAAAUGAGCCUGGUCUCUGCACAAGGACGGCAUGCAGAUUCAUGAAGUGUUCCAUUUUUUU
ensembl:snRNA U6 U6 spliceosomal RNA